UGAUAUUCCUUUCUUUUCUUUUUCAGCUCUAUGAAAAUGAAGAAGACAAACUGAAAGUUUUGCUCUGCAAAAAUUAAUAGGGACCUCUGGCUCUUGAGGGGACAAAAUUGUGGAUGAGUCCUCUCAUGUGGCAAUGCAUUAAGAGCAACAAAAAAGUUAAACUUCAGACAUCAGCCUGCACCACAGGACUGUUCUCAGCCACCCUGGUUUGCUGCAUCGCUUGCACAGUGGCACUUUUCAACACCCAGGAGAGCUCAAUACUCCUGCUAUGAAGAAUGUGGACG
rnacentral:lncRNA from 1 species